rnacentral:rRNA from 1 species
CACGUAGGGCGCAAGCGUUGUCCGGAAUUAUUGGGCGUAAAGAGCUCGUAGGCGGUCUGUUGCGUCCGCUGUGAAAACUCGGGGCUUAACCCCGAGCCUGCAGUGGAUACGGGCAGACUAGAGGUAGGUAGGGGAGAAUGGAAUUCCCGGUGUAGCGGUGAAAUGCGCAGAUAUCGGGAGGAACACCUGUGGCGAAGGCGGCCACCUGGUUGGAUACUGACGCUGAGACGCGAAAGCGUGGGGAGCAAACAGG